UGCAGAUCCAAUGGUUCUGGAGAGCAUUGCGUUCUUUUGACCAAGCUGACCGUGCCAAGUUCCUCCAGUUUGUCACAGGUACUUCCAAAGUGCCCCUGCAAGGUUUUGCUGCCCUCGAAGGCAUGAAUGGCAUUCAGAAGUUUCAGAUCCAUCGAGAUGACAGGUCCACAGAUCGCCUCCCUUCAGCUCACACGUGUUUUAAUCAACUGGAUCUGCCUGCCUAUGAGAGCUUUGAGAAGCUCCGCCACAUGCUACUAUUGGCCAUCCAGGAGUGCUCUGAAGGCUUUGGGCUGGCCUAAUAAGGCCCUGCCCACCUCUGUGGGGGUUUUUCUACCAUUGUUGGACCUGGGGAGGGGGGAAACUAAAAAAGAACCAGAAAGAAAUUGUCAAAAACCAAUAAAUGAAAUCCACCAACUCAC